CGAGAGGCUUUAUAGGAGAACAAAGACACACAUGGUGGUAUGCAAUUGCAAACCUGGGAAGAUUAAUGGAAGGGUUAUGAUGUAUUUUACAUUAUUGGAGUGAAAAUACUCAAGCCGGCAGUAUUUAUUUGGCAUCAUAAAGGUGUAAACUCCAGGUUUAUCCCGAGUUACAUUGGACUCGAGACUAACAUUUAUUGAACCAGGAGAAUAUACGGUAAAACCCUUCUAUCAAGUGCCUUUUUUUGAGGGAUAACUUUUCUAUUUCGGUAAAAGUACCAUGAAAGUUUCUGUACUAGGAGUUAAAUUACAUUUUGUCCUCUUUACUCAUAAAAUAAGUAAAUUAAUCCAUAUACGUUAGAUCAAAUAGCAAA